rnacentral:lncRNA from 10 species
UUAGACCACACCCGCUUUGACUGUUAGACUCAUCUGCAGUGCUUGUGCCACUAGUGAGAUGCGCCUAAUGGGGGAGUUCAUCCCCCACCUCACCCUGGUGCCCAACAAUUCAGCGACAGCACCAUCAGCCCAGAUGGGGGUUGUGAGCAAAGUCCGAGAUGGUCAGAAGGAAACGAGAACCUGGGAGGUGGCGAGUGUCCACUGCUCUAGUCUCAGGACAGCCUGCUCUGUUAAAGCACCUGGUCCUUCUUCCUGAAGACUUCAGUCCCACCUUGCAUUAUGUUUUGUUCUGUGUAUGUGCGUGUCUAUCUCUCCUGCUAACUGCUGAGCUUGCUAAGGAAAGGAACCUUGUUUUAUGAAAUAAAUGAUAUUUAUGAGC